GGUCACAUAGCUCAGCGGUAGAGCACUACGUUGACAUCGUAGGGGUCACAGGUUCGAACCCUGUUGUGACCACCA
rnacentral:tRNA from 1 species